rnacentral:rRNA from 1 species
UGGGGAAUAUUGCACAAUGGGCGCAAGCCUGAUGCAGCCAUGCCGCGUGUAUGAAGAAGGCCUUCGGGUUGUAAAGUACUUUCAGCGGGGAGGAAGGCGAUAAGGUUAAUAACCUUGUCGAUUGACGUUACCCGCAGAAGAAGCACCGGCUAACUCCGUGCCAGCAGCCGCGGUAAUACGGAGGGCGCAAGCGUUAAUCGGAAUUACUGGGCGUAAAGCGCACGCAGGCGGUCUGUCAAGUCGGAUGUGAAAUCCCCGGGCUCAACCUGGGAACUGCAUUCGAAACUGGCAGGCUAGAGUCUUGUAGAGGGGGGUAGAAUUCCAGGUGUAGCGGUGAAAUGCGUAGAGAUCUGGAGGAAUACCGGUGGCGAAGGCGGCCCCCUGGACAAAGACUGACGCUCAGGUGCGAAAGCGUGGGGAGCAAACA